rnacentral:rRNA from 1 species
GACGAACGCUGGCGGCGUGCCUAAUACAUGCAAGCUGAGCGCUGAAGGUUGGUACUUGUACCAACUGGAUGAGCAGCGAACGGGUGAGUAACGCGUGGGAAUCUGCCUUUGAGCGGGGGACAACAUUUGGAAACGAAUGCUAAUACCGCAUAAAAACUUUAAACACAAGUUUUAAGUUUGAAAGAUGCAAUUGCAUCACUCAAAGAUGAUCCCGCGUUGUAUUAGCUAGUUGGUGAGGUAAAGGCUCACCAAGGCGAUGAUACAUAGCCGACCUGAGAGGGUGAUCGGCCACAUUGGGACUGAGACACGGCCCAAACUCCUACGGGAGGCAGCAGUAGGGAAUCUUCGGCAAUGGACGAAAGUCUGACCGAGCAACGCCGCGUGAGUGAAGAAGGGUUUCGGAUCGUAAAACUCUGUUGGUAGAGAAGAACGUUGGUGAGAGUGGAAAGCUCAUCAAGUGACGGUAACUACCCAGAAAGGGACGGCUAACUACGUG